AUUGAACGCUGGCGGCAGGCCUAACACAUGCAAGUCGAGCGAGCGGCGGACGGGUGAGUAAUGUAUGGGGACUGCCCGAUAGAGGGGGAUCACUACUGGAAACGGUGGCUAAUACCGCAUACUAUCGGAUAACCCAUAUGGGAUUGGCUAGUGGGUGGGGUAAAGGCUCACUUAGGCGACGAUCUCUAGCUGGUCUGAGAGGAGGAUCAGCAACACUGGGACUGAGACACGGCCCAGACUCCUACGGGGGCGGCAGUGGGGAAUAUUGCACAAUGGGCGCAAUCCUGAUGCAGCCAGGCCGCGUGUAUGAAGAAGGCCUUGGGGUUGUAAAGUACUUUCAGCGGGGAGGCGUUACCCGCAGAAGAAGCACCGGCUAACUCCGUGCCAGCAGCCGCGGUAAUUC
rnacentral:rRNA from 1 species